CCGGCUCCCGCUGCAGCGCCCCGCCGGGGCCGCCCGCCCCCCCGGCGGCCCCCGCCGCCGCCGCCGCCGCCGCCGCCGGGCCCCCCCGCGCCGCCGCCGCCGCCGGCCGCCGGGUUGGCGGCACCGCACUGGUUGUAGAGACCCAAGCCUCCACCAUCCCCAGGACCCCUUGCUCUGUGCCAACAAUUCCUCAAAACAAUUAGCUCGGAGUUACGGGCCGCCGCUGCUGACACCGGGUCUGGAGAACCACAUUACGAGGAGCACCAAGGCCUUGCCCUGCACAUACCAGGGAGCUGAAGCUCUCCUCAGGGACAGGCUGAUCCACAGUGGCCUGAUCCUUCACCUGGUCAUGCCCCGCUGUCACCAAGAUCCUGUGAGAUCUGCUUGGCAGAAAGGCAUGCGGGCCGCUGGGUCCCCACCGAUGGCCAUCUCCUUGCCAGCCUGCAUGAGGCAGCAAAUGGCGUGGAGGGCAGGAGCAGUCUGAAAAGCAGAAGAUUAAUUAAGAGGCUGUGCCACUGCCUUGCUGUGAUCUCAGUAACUGAACCGUUAAAGUGAUUUAUUCUUCCCAGGGUAAUUGCAUUCCCCCUUUCUGCGUUACCCGCUCCCUGAUCUGUGUUCAGCUCUUGGAGGUGCACAGACAUGCAUCUGGGAGCAAAUGUGUGGUCCUUCAUUUGACGUGUUCAGCGGGGAGAUGUCCUGCCUGCCCCUUCUGUUUUCUGUGCCUUUGUGUUACAUUUUCUGUAAUGCUCGAAGACAUGCUAUUGAUUCAAAGCUUCCAGACCCUUGUACAGCUCAGGGAUCUCACCGAUUAACCACGGUGGCCAGAUGCCGAUGUGGCACAUCACAGCGGUGUUCUUACACCACUAAUUUUGAUCAAGAGCUUUCGACCUGGUUUUGUCUCGUGUUAUCAAAUACCUGUUUCUGCUGCCUUACAUGCUGGCAGGUUUCUGCUGCAUUUUUUAAAGCUGUGUUACGCUUCGCGUGGACGAGUUUGGGAAACUCCCGUAGCCACAGCUCUGUGGCAUUCAGAGCUGGCCAUCCUAAUAGUCCCUCCUGGCAUCUGGUCUGUGCAUGCAGGAAUGAGCAGAAGCCUUUAGAGGAACAGUUCUUUUUCCUGUGAAACCUUUCUCAUGUUAAUAAUAACCGAGCAUUAAAUACA